AAUUAUUAUAGUUUUCCUAUAUCCUGUCGAUCAGUGUAUUUACAUCCAGCCGCUAACCAUUUGUUUGGACAACACUGUAAAUGGUAUUGUCGUAUAAAUACGAGGUGGUGCGGUGGUCGCCAUUAGUGAGUAAUCGUCAACCAUGGGUCGAAGUAUCCUGUGUUUAAUCGCGAUAGUAAUAUUGCUUGUGGCAGUGCAAGGCCAGUUCGGUCCGCCCGGCCCGCAGUUUCCAGGCCAGUUCGGCCGGCCAGGCUACUACCCUCGGCCCGGCUUCGGGUCAGGCUUCAACCGGCCUAGCGGAGGGCUCUCGAUCUCCAAGAGUGUCAGCAUUAACGUUGGUGGGGGAGGAGCAGCCAGUUCGUCUUCGAGUGCUGGGUCCUUCGGUCGUGGUGGUUUCGCUGGUGCGGGCGCACAAUCAAGCGCCGGGGCUUUUGGAAAACGAUAGUGUUAUGUGAAAUAUAUUUAUUAUUAUUUU